rnacentral:tRNA from 1 species
GGACUACGCGCUGGGUACGCGAGCAUCCUUUACACGGAAGCUGUGCGGGGUUCGAUUCCCCGGUGGUCUAC